CGACAUCUUCUUCUUCUUCUUCUUG
rnacentral:sRNA from 1 species